UCUUCGGUAGUAUAUCGGAUAGUACACCCGCCUGUCAAGUAGUUGACGAUGAUGAUGAUGCUUCAGCUGUGCGCGGGAGAGCGGGGUUCGACUCCCCGCCGAAGAG
rnacentral:tRNA from 1 species